rnacentral:rRNA from 1 species
UACGAGAGGUGCAAGCGUUAUUCGGAAUUAUUGGGCGUAAAGGGCGCGUAGGCGGCUUGUUAAGUUUGUUGUUAAAGACCUUGGCUUAACUGAGGAAAAGCAAUAAAAACUGGCGAGCUAGAGGGUGAGAGAGAGAAGUGGAAUUCCCGGAGUAGCGGUAAAAUGCGUAGAUCUCGGGAGGAACACCAAUGGCGAAGGCUGCUUCUUGGUUCACUACUGACGCUGAGGCGCGAAAGCGUGGGGAGCAAACAGG